GGGUGCCGGCUUGUCAAUGGCCAGCACCCAAAAUUUUUUUUUUAUUUUUUUUAUAUACUGAUAUCUGAUUCUGACACGAAAAAAAAGAUUUUUUUUAAAUUGUACUGGGUGCUGGCCAUUGACAGGCCAACACUCAAAUUUUUUUUUUAUUUUUUUGUAUAUUGAUAUCUGACACUGACACAAACAAAAGAAUUUUUUUAAAAAAAUUGUACUGGGUGCCGGGCAUUGACAGGCCAACACCCCAAAGUUUUUUUUCGUUUUUAUUUUUUUCCUUUUUCGUAAAUCAAUAUUAUACAAUUUUAAAAAAAAUACAUGGGUUCAUGCCAUUGACAGGCCAAAACCCAAAAAAUUAAUUUUUUUAAGUCUGACACAAUUAUUAGGCAAUCAUGGGUGCAAAAUACGAGUGGGUUCCGGCCAUUGACAGGCCACAACCCAAAUUCACUGUUCCUUUUAAGUUAUUUUGGUGAUUAUUUUUAAACCUGAGUUAUUUUUGUAAAUAUAAUAUCUUUUUAGACUAAUUUAAUAAAAUAGCCAUAUAUUUCCUUCGGUCCUAAUCCAUUUCAUUUAGGUUGACAAAAUCAAAGAUGGUGUAGUAAAUAUCUUAAUAUUUUACUUUUCUAUUCAUAUCAAUUUUAAAUUUACAAUUUUUAUCCUCUACCAUUAUUAAAAAUAUACUUCACUUAAUAUCCACAAAUAUUUUAAAGGGAAGGAUAAAAGAAGAUAGAAUAAUGACUCAAAACAUUAAAAAUUAGGGAAAAUAUUCAAUACAUGAAAUUUUUAAACUUCACAAACAAUAUCAAAAGAUUGAUAAGUACCUUAUAUGAGUAUAAUAAAAUAUUAAAAAACCGAAACGCAUAUUAAUUUUUUAAGGUAGCAAAAAUUAUUAGGAGUUAAAAGAUCGGUUAUUUUAACUCGAAAAUUAGGUUUAAAAUUUUACUCAAACUCGACCCAGAUAAAAAAUGCUAAACCCGAGCUUGGCCUGCUUGUAUUAAAUUUUUUUAUAAACAAAUUUAAAAAAUAUAAUACAUCAAAUACACUCAAAAUAUUAAAAUAAAUGUUUACCAACAAACUGAAAAUACAGUUAGAAAAGUUUUAUACUUAAAUAACACUAAGAUAGUUGCAACUUAACAAACAAAUGUAUUUAAAUUAGUAACAAAAUCAAUAAUAAAACAAGAGUUAUACAAUAUCCAAACGAUAAUAACAAAAUAGUAAUAAUAUAAUAGCAAAUGAUAACAAAACAACAUCAAAAUGAUAGCAAACAACAGUGAAAAAAUUAGGCAAAUUCGAGCCAAGCGGGGCCCAGGCUAAAAAAUCUUACCUGAGGUUCGGUCUGUUUAGAAAACGGGUCUUUUUUUGUCCAAAUUCGUUUUUCGAGCCUAUACUUUUAUUUAAAUCCUCUCACAUUUUGAACGAAUCUUUGAGGUUUACUAUGGUUACUAUUUGACAAUAAAAAAGUAGCUUUUAUUUAAAUUAAUUAUAAAAAUGUAUUAAUAAAAGUAUAAUUUUUAAAAUAAAAUAACGGUUUAUAGAUAAUAAUUUGGGCUUAAAGCCAGGCCCAAACCAAAUUUGAGGAAAAUAAAAUCUGUCAACCCUCCCACCCUCAAAGAACAGAAACGAACAAAAAAAAAAUAUCAUUAUAAACUUAGGGCUAGUUCUUCAUUGCUUUUGAGAAGUGCUUUUGAGAAGUGCUUUUCAAAAGUGCUUUUGAGAAAUUUGAGUGUUUGGCAUUGCUGUCAAAAAGUGCUUUUGAAGAAUAAAAUGUCCAUUUUAGACAUGAGAUUAUAAUGUAACAAAUAUGUAUUUAAAUAAUGUUCAAAUUAGUUAAUAUUAUGAUAUUUUAACAAAAAUAUAAAAAAAUAAUUUAUUAUAACUUAUUGUUAAUAUUUUAAUAUAUAAUAUUAAUUUUAAAUAUUUCUAAGUAAUUAAUAUUAAUUAUUUAUAAAAUUUAAUUAGAAUAUAUAAAAUAUAUUUAAAUAUUUAAAUAUAAAAAUUAAAAAUUUGUAAUUAGAUAUUGACACGAUUGUAUUAUUAUAAAAAUUAUUUUAUUUUUAAUUAAUUAAACACCUAUCAAUUUCGUUCCAACUGUCAUUGUAUUGUAAUAUUAUAAUGUUUUUGUUCUAAUAUAUGACAAUGCACAUUGUUUGUCAUAUUUUUGUUCUGAUUUAAUGCACACUACUAUUUUAGUGUAAUGUUUGCCAAUAAUUGUUUCAAAAUGGUAUGAACUUUGGACCAAAAGAAAAAAAAAGUUAUAUAAACAACAAUUCAAUAGAAAGCCGACAAAAUUAAUUGAAGUUGGUUCGAUUCGAUUAAUUAUUUUAACAGAAAAAAGCUCAAUUCAACUAACGGUUUAGUUAAUUAUAGUUCAAUUAACAAUGGAUCGAACUAACUAUUUCAUCACCCCUUAGAUUAAAUGUUUGAGAAUAUAAAACAAAAUACUUAGAAUUAUAAAAGCAAACAUAGUUUCAAUUGAACAGUUUAGCGUGUAUUGCAUUUCAUUUAAAGGUUCAACUAAAAUCUUUAAACAAAAUCAGACCUAUAGUAAUAAAACUAGUACAUACCAUGAUGUAAAAAAGCACAAGAGAAACAGAAGAGCAAAUUUCAGUCCACUCAGAUGUUGAACAUAUUUUGGAAAUGUAUAAGCAAUGUCUGCAACCAUACCAGCAAGCAUCUCCAUUUUGAACCAGACCAUCUAACAGGAUCCAUCUCACUAAUUCCAGUUACAACUCCUGUGUAUCUGCAAAAUGAAAACUUGAAUUAAGGCCUUGAUCGCUUGGUAGAGUAGGUCUUUCGUCCCUUCUUUAGGCUAAAUAUAGGACCAAUGGUAAUUUAAAUGUUUUCUCCGCAUGAAAAAGGAUGUCCCAAUACGGUACAGUGCGAUUCAGGCUUUAAUUAAAUGAGGAAACAAGUGAAAAAUGCAACCCAAAAUCACCCACUUAAAAACCAAGUUGCAUCUACAAGCACUAAAUUUACCAUUCAAACCAGGAGCAUAAUCCCCACGUUUGUAGUAAGCAGGACUCUUUGCGGCUCUCCACUCAGCCGUCCCCAUACCAUCUGUUACAUGAAAUAAAUAAAGUCCACAAAAAUUUAAUAGACCAAUAAAAUUUCAUUCCAAUUCAAAUUGCUCACAAUGAUUAUUCUCGCAGACCAAAAUUGCAGGCAGAUCCCAAAGUGCAGAGAUGUUCAAAUCCUCAAACAACUGCCCUUUGAUUAGCAGCCCCAUCACCAUAUAAAGCAAAGAAUACAACACUCUAGAGGCAAGCAGUGGUAAUCAAGAGCAUGCAAGCAUUAAAAGAAAUAAGAAUAUAACCAAUAAUAUCAGCAAAAACUGAAUCAUCAAGACAGAGGGGAAAGACAAUUUUCUAUAUCUUCAUCUACAAAUUGUACCACUAUAAAAUCUGAUUUCAAGGUCAAGCUUCUUGUUUUCUAGAUCAGUUCCUAAAAGAAGUGUACAAAUCGGAAAAAAUUCUUCAAAGAAUGACACCUACGAGUCAACUAUACUAAAAUAGCAUUACAUAUAUCAUAACAAUGUCCAGCAAAGACAAUAAAUUGAUUACCUUUAAACCAAUAAGCUAAUAAACAAUAAAUUGAGGCAUUACUGUUGCUCAAAAUGAAUCAUGAGAGUGACUAUGCACGAAAAAACACCAAGGUAAUAACAUUAGCUUAAAAAACCCAACAAAGACAGCACAAAGUAAACAAAAUUUACUUCUAGUUUUACGUAAUACUCUAGAGUUCAAAUCUCACGGAAGCCCUUUAUAUACUAAAAUUUUAAGCAUGUCAUAUUCCUUAAGAUUUAAGAACCAAACCUCAAAAAAUAUUAACUUUGGAUCUCUUCUCUUUAUUUUGCCUAUCAAAAGUCCAACACAAAGUGACAAAUUUUACUUCUAAUAACUUAUCACAUUACGCAAUACUCCAGAGUUAGAUGCCAAGAACAAAUCUCACAGAAUUCCUUUAUAAUUUAUAUUAUUAAAAUUUUAAGCAUGUCCUAUUCCUUAAGUUAACUCCCAAACUUUCAAAAAUUAUUAUUAACUUAAACUUUGCGGCCCCAAAGACUGAAACAUAUAAAAUAAAGAAAAGGUACUUCUUUCAAGGCAUAGGACAUACCAACUGCAUAGCUGCCUGGUUUUCAGCAGUCAGUGCUUGUAAAGCGGCUUCUUUCUCCCUUUCCCUCUUGAAGGCCCCAACAAGAGCAACUUCAUAAUCUUUUUUCUGGAUUACAAAAUCAUAAUAGGCAUAAAAAGAAAAUAGUUUAACAACAGCUCUAGGUUGUGUGUUUCCUCAACAAAGCAAGAUUUUUGCAUACCUGAGACAUCGUUUUAUCAGAUGAAAGUGGACUGAAUGAUCCAGGAGGGCAUUCCCAUUUAAAGGGCCCAGGUGAUGCUGGAAUGCUUGAUGCCAAGUUAUCAUUAUCCAGAUUUUCACUUUUGCCAUUAACAAAAGCUCGUAGAUGAGAUACUUCUUUCUGAAAAACAGAAUUUUGGAUAAUAAGGAUAACUAGAAACCUGAAAGAAUAUGAGAACCAUGCAAAUGAAAUAAAUAAAAUGAAUCAUUUAAACUUUGGCAUGACUUCAGCUCACAAAAAUAGAAGAUUUUGCUUGCUGCUUGAAAAUUUGUAAAUUAACAUUUAUUAUUUCUACCUUUAUUUUUCAGUUAAGAUAAAGCAAAACAUAAUACAAUUACUGCUUGCUCAAUAGAAAGGAGAUUCAGCAGAGAAGUAUAGUGAAACUCAUAUUGAUAAAUAGAAACUUAGCAAACCGCCUACUAUUACAGUAUUACAAUAACUUUAAAGGUACUUUCAAAUAUGAUCGUAAGUUUAACAAUAUUAUACCUUCAGCUGUUGAAUUUGCAGUCUCAUAGCAACAACAUCUCCAGAUGCAUCUUUAUUUACCACUGCCUACAAUACAUUAGUUCAAAUCUUUCAAUAAAUAUGACAUCCAAAAUUUAAAAACUAUAUACAUUAACUAGAAUUUGACUAACUGAUUAAGAGGUUAAAAGAAAUAAAAUUUUUUUAACAAAAAGUUGUAUUUUUAAAUAUAUAUACAUGAAAAAAACUUGGUAUCACUCUACCUUUUUAACUAAAUGGGUUCCACAACACAAAACUCUUAUUAUUAGUAUACAAGUAUAGAUUAUGUAGUCUAAACAGGCUCAAAGGCUAGCAUCGGUUCCCGUUGGGAACAGAAAAUGAAACAGAGGAUUUCAGGAAAUCACAUGAAUGACGAGUAAGCCAUGCAUUGAAUUAAAAGUAGCUAAGCAAAGAUCUCAUACAUUGUUCUUAAUAAAUUUAACCAGCUGUGCAAACUUCAAUGUACUUAGUGUCUCCAAUGAACAACUGCAGAAAAUGCCCAAAAGUUCAAACUUGAACAGUUCCAAUGAAACCAAAUUAAUUUUGAAAACAAUUUAUAACCAUGAACAGUCUCUAUAUCCUUUGUUUUUCUUUUAUCGGUUCUUCACCACAUAGUAAAUAGGCUCACUCUCAUAUAAGAAUCAAACAAACAAUUUACACCACAGUUCCAAAUCUCAAUCAAAUAGAGACUAAAGGAAGAAUUAACUAAAAGAAACCACAAAACCAAUAUGAAGAAACUUUUUAACAGAUGAAAGUGGAAGAGUAGCAAAGCAAAUCCAGAAUAUAGGUUUGAUCAGAUAAUACAAUUCGAAAUUAAUGAAAGACCCAGAAAAUCUAAUCAAAUGGGAAGUAAUAGGAGGAGUAAAAAAAAAAGAAACCUUUCGGCAGUGGCGAGAUUGGUGGGCACAUCGUCGGUGCAAGCGAAUUGCAAUGCUGAAACAACUACUUGCUUGUUUCCCUUCUCCAUUUCUUUUAUCUUGAUUCUCAAUCCCCAAACCACAGCCGCCGAGUAGAGUAAAGCAAAGCAGUAAUCCAGAAUUUUCAGGGAAAAUUCUAAUCGAAAGCAGUAAGCCAAAAUUUUGAAAGUGAAAAUGUGAAAAAAUGGGUAUAGAGCUCCUCCAAAGAACCAGAGAAAAGAAACUUUUUGGGGGAGAAGGCAGGUUAAAAUGGGAAAUUAUCAGCCAAACGGACUUUUGGCUGAAGAAAUGGAGAAAUUUUUAACUUUUCCAUCAGCCAAAAAGCACUUCUCAGAUGGUGGAAAAAUUUUUGAAACGAUGGCCGUUCUUCUUUGCUUUUAAGAGAAAAGCCCUUUUUGUUGCAAAAGCCCGUUUAAAAAGCAGAGGAGAACGGGGCCUUACUUUUCUUUUUCCUCUUCAUCAAACUUUGUGGCUUCAAAUAAUAAGUUGGUAUCUCUUGUCCUUUUAUUUUAGCAUGGUAGUGGAGUGGUUCCUCCUGUUCCUUUUAGCAAGCAGACUGAAUAUCUUAGGUUGGGUUCAUAGUUGAAAGUCAAAGCAGGGGAAAAGUAUCCAUAUAUUAGCCACAUCGAUUUUUUGAACAUUGAGAAUUUAGAAACUUUUUGGUCACAUCAUUCUAAUUUCUUGAAUAUAUAUACACAACCCUUGAUGAGAAAUUUAGCCCAAUUUUUAUUAUUAUACUUAUUUAUGUUGAUUGAGUCUUAAUUUAAUCGAUGUGAUUACUGUUAAAAUAAUUUAAAAGAUGUGAAUUCGAAUAUAAUAUCAUCACUUUAAAUAUUUGAAAUUAUGAGUGGUUUAAACAAUGUUCAGUUAUAAUAACUUCAACCUCAACAAGAAGCAUCAAAUUACUACAUUCGACUACUUUGUACCAAACCCAGCGCAUUAGACUACUCUUUCCCUAAGUAUACAACAAAAAGCCUCACUUCGCAAGACGCCUACAACCACAUUUUUGUGAAUGCAUAGUAGAUUUGGUGAUGACAGAUACGAAACGGUCACAUAAUAUACAAAUACAAUACAAAAGAGAAGAAAAUCAAAUAUAGCACAAAUACGACAUAACAUGACACGAAUAUAUCAAGAUUUAUAUAAAUAUAAAAUAUCCUAAAUAUAAUACGUGAAAGAUGAAGGUAGGAAAAUACAUGUAUUAAAACUUUAACACUAUACAGUUAUUAACCUUCUAUGAAUGAUGAUACAUUAUUUUCCAAGGUUUCUUCUCAAAUUUACUCAUUUAAAUACUAACAUUACAUUUACAUUCUAAAUCCACCCCACCAAGCAACACAUACCUCUCAACAACCCAUUCCCAAGGACAAAACGUUUCCAUCAUUUAUGCUUUUUCACAAACUUUGCAUCACUUCAAAUCAACCCCAUUAGGAGGGGGAAUAGAAACCCUAGAGUGCAAGGGAUUAUAAAAAUGUGUUGGAAUUUUCUUUCUAAUGGGACUAUAAAAAUGAGUGAAAGCCACACAACAAAAGAAGAUCUUCAUAAAGGACAAUAUAAUAAAACAAAAUCUUAACCACUGUUCAUAGUCAAGCUUUAAUGCCUUUGUUAAGAAGCACAUAUGUCCCGUUGAAAUUGGAAAAUAGAUUUCAAGAUUGGUACACAUAAUGACAAUAUAAAAAGAUCGUAAAGUAACAAGAAAGAAGAAUAAAACACAGAGAAAUUACGUGGAAACUCUUUCGGGAAAAAAAUACGGGCAGAGGAGAAAAAAAAUUCACUAGUGUUGAAAAAUCGAAUGAUAUAAGAAGAGUUCCGAAAAACCUUAUUCUAAUCAAAGUCAAAUAGAGGAUGCGUAGUUCUAUACAAAUUCUACUUAUGCAACAUAUAGUGUAGUUCUACAUCUAUUUACUUCGGCCCUCGAUCUUAAGCCCACUACAGAUCCCCUAGCUUUACCAUUGUAUUAUUUCUUUAACAAGAAUUCGAAUCACACAAUUCUAACCCACAUAUUGAUAAUUUCUUCUUAUUUUUAUAUUUUUUUUCAAAGAUUUUCAUUUUUCAACCCCCCUCUUUUUUAUGCUAUGAUUUUUUAUUGGGUUUUUCAUACUUUUUAGUACUUUUUCGUUUUUCAAGUGCACCGUUUUGUCAUUUUUCAAAAUAAAAGGGACCUAUAACUUAACUAAAUAAAAUAUUGAUUGAUGGUGGGUAUCAUUAUUUAUAUAAUUUCUAUGAAUCUAGAUGUCAAAAUAAGGUACUGUUUUUAGUCCAUCUAAAAUUUUAAAUGUAACGGCUAUCUUAUGUAAAUAUAAAAGAAUUUAAUGACAUUUAAUAAAAUAGUUUUUAAUAAGGUUGGGUAUAUAUGAAUGGGAGAGUUUGUAUCAAUCAUCAAAAUAAGAGAUUCUGAAGCCAAAUUGGAAUACAAAAGCCUGUGUUUGUGGGUCAUACGACCAUGGCAAUUAGGAAUAUGAUUCAUUCAUUGCAAGUAUGACAGUCCAUGCUGUAGAAAGUCAGACAUUGUUUUGGUACUUAAUUCAUAAUUAUUUAGUUUCCAAAGAGUGCAGUAGAUAUGUUCUCUGUGCGAUGCUUGUCCAUAUUAUCAAGGUUGGUGGAGGGACAGUCCAUAAUUCCAAUGAAAGAGUCAAGUUGCCAACAUUUUAAUAAUGAUCAAAUUAGAAAUGUGGAUUAUUAUAAGAAAAGAAAAUAAAAAUAAAAACCUCCCAAAAUUUUUUAGUUUAUGCAAUUAUUUUCAAAAAUGAUAUCUACCAAUUUUUUUUUAAAAUUCGAUUUACUUUAUUUAUUAAAAAAAAAAAGAAAUGAAAGAGUUAAACAUUUGGUUGGGUAAUGAUUAGAGGGGAUAAUGUUGUUGUAUUACACUUUUUCUUCCACAUGCAUAAAGUAGGCCUAUCUGGUCUCAACUACUUAUUGGACAGCAGUUUUGGCUUAAUGACCAAAUUUAUGACACCUCACACUUGUAGGUUUCCUAGCUGUAUAGCUUUAACCUCUCUUUCUUUAACCAGAUUUAAGAGAGAGAAAAAAUCAUAAUAUAUUAUUUCCCUACAUAGAAGAAAUAUGUUAAAAAUUGUAAUACUAAUAUUUAAAAUAAUUUUAUACAAUGGUUAUAUAUUAAAGAGAUACUUUUUUUAAUUUCUAAAAAAAUAUUUAUAUGGAAAAAUCCAAUAAAAAAUAUUAUAACAUUUAUUUACUUAAAAAUUUAAUAUUUAAAUAAUAUCCAAGAAUCAUAAAAUGGAAUUUAUUUUCAUAAAAACAAAUUUAAAAUUAACAUAGAAAACCGAAGAAAUAUUCGAAAAGUUUUAAAAAUUCUAAUCCAACCAAACUAAACUCAACCCUGCUUUUCAUUUUCAUUUGGGAAAAAUAUUCGUUUUCUUGCAAAAGAUUUAACAUAAAGGGUUUUUUUUUUCUAGAAAAAAGAAAUCCACAAAUAAUAGGGCAGUGAAAAUUCCAUGCUGGCAUUGCAAUUGAGCGCCUUGAAAAGAUGAAUUUGAACUUGGAAUCCAAAUUUCAAAUUUCAAAUUUCAAAUUUCUUACCUUUUUUCCUUCAUGGAGUGUUCUACGUUGCAAAAUUCCAAAUUUCUUACACCUUUUCAUCAUUUCCACCCUUAUUUUAAAGCUAUUUCUCAUCCCAAUGUUGAAAUUGAAAUACUAAUUUUUUUAAAUAACUUUAAUUUUUUAUAUUAUAUUAGAGAUGGGUGAUACGGUUUGAAUCCGUAUUAAACGAAUAUCUUUUAACUUAAAAUAAAAGUCUGAUUAAUUACCAUUAAAUAUUAUAUAAUAAUUUAUUUUAUAUUUAAUAAAUUAAAAACUAUCCAUUAAUUAUCCACUGAAAUUUUACAUCUUUUUAAUAUAUAAUAGAUUAAAUAUAUUUAUUUGUAGAUGUCGAAAUUCUAAGACUUAGGUUUAGUUUGAAUGGGCAGUGCGUUUAUCUGUAAAUGAAUUACAACCUUAAACGCAAUGAAUAACAAAGUGUCACGUAAGAGCCAGAACUACAUAUUAAUACAAGUUACAUACAUGUACUAAAACAAUAUUACAUACGAUAUUCUCAAAGUCUGCAGCUCGGAGCUCGGAGAAAAACAUUUAGGGGAAAAUAAUCAUGAUAAAAUGAAAAAUUAGCAUAGGAUGCUCGUAAAUUAAUCAUUGUAUUAAGAUAUAUACAUGAUGGUGGGAAUCCUUACCGUGUUCACCUAAAUGCAACCCAAUACUAGUAAGCAUUGUGCAAAGGGAAUUUGUGAAAUUUUUGGUUGAUUCAAAUGGACAUACCAUUGAAUACAUUUAAAAAUAGUUACUGCCUAAUUGCUCUAUAUAAGCCAUGGCAUAUUUAAGUUGGAAUAUGUGAAGAUAAAAAAAAACGAGAACCAAAUUUAUUUUUUAAAACAAAAUCUAACCAACAUAUCACCACUUAAAAUACUAUAAAUUUAAGUAAAUUAAGACUUGUUCUUAUUAGAUCAUCAAAAUUAAAACUUAAAUGUUAAUUUAGCUUUUGGAACUAAUGUUCACCAAGAACAAAAUUUCAUUAAAAACAUGAAAGGUUUUAAAAUUGAAUAGCUUAUUUUAAUAUUUAAAAAAAAAAUUUGGUAAUAUAAUUAAACUUCUAAAAAUAUGCACAGGAAAAUUCAAAAUAACUUGAAAGUUGUAUCAAAGUUGUUAUUUUUAUUUUAAAAUAAAUCUUAUUUUUAAAAAUAAAAACAAGUACCAAAAAUCUAAAUUUAAUAAAGACUGCUUUUAGAAAUGCGACACUAGGUUCAUGAUUAUAAAUUAUAUUUAUGUUUAAGAUAUAUACGAUUCUCAUUCUUAUCCGGAUAACUCUAGGAUAAUUAUGUGCAUAUUUGUCAAAUUGACUGGCAUAAUAACUAGCAAAUGUCUAUAUAUUUUUGUAAACUAAACUUGGGUUUGAAGAUUAAUUGCUUCGACAGCUUAUUCUGAAUUGGUGAUGAUGAUGUGGGAUCAUGCAUGUGUCUCGUAUGAUGUAAAAUAAUUUUCAUUGUCGAUAGAAGGAAUUAUCACUUUAAUCAAGACUGUGUUGAUAACGUUUUAUAAAACUAAAAAAGAAUACAAAUGUUAAGAAAGAAAGACAAACAAAUGAAUAAAAGAUGAUUAAACUUUCACUUAGGAUGUAUAUAAGCUUGUACAUGCCCUCUAUUUAUAGGGCUUUAAGAACCAUAAGUCACAAGGCAUUAAGGACCAAUAUUUAAGGUGCCCUAUAAAUGAUUUAGGGGUUACAACAUAAUAAAUUUAUGGGGCUAUGGACAUUCAUUCUUUAGAGGUUACAAUAGGAUGGAAUUGGGGGUUAUGGACAUCCAUUUUAUCAAAUGAUUUACAACAAAUAUCAAAUUAUAUCAAUUUUAUAAUAGUUCAUUUUCAUAAGUGAAACAACUCUUGGGAUUAUUAAUUCAUUUAAUUUGUAUUAUACAGUUAUGAAAUAAAUUAAAAACAAUUUAAAAAACUUCAACUUCCUAAUUAAAAUAAAAGUAUAUUUAGAAAAAUUAAAAUAACAUAUAAAUUUAAAAUAAAUACUAAUAAUAUUACAAAUAUAUUUUAUUUUAUUUUUUAUUUUGCAUAGAAAUUUGAUAUUCAUUUAAUAGGUGUUUGGCUCAAGAAAGUUUGACAAAUUAACACCAUACAAGGAAAUGAAAAGACAUAAAAUCAAAAGACCAACCAUCAAAGCAAAAUAAAGCACACAGAAAGCAGAAAACCAUUAACUCUAGAAAAACACCUCAAACUAAACACUAAAAAAACUCAUCAGAGAAUACCAGCCAUUGUCCUCAUCUUCCGCAACAACUACUCCGUAUAGCCAAACCGGUAGAAGGAUAAUGCCUUGAAAACCAACCAUGGAAAUUCCUCUGAACCUUCUCCAUCUUCAAAGCUUAACAAAGAAUUCUCAACGGUGUUGAAGCCAAGCAAUCCAAUCCUCGUCCACCACAUUUUCAACCACAUCUUCAAACUUACGACAUAAAAUCUUCAACAAAGCAAAACACUCAAUAACAUAUACAGGAAUUGCUUGUAAAACUGACUUAAUAAAUACUUCCUUACCUUUCAUCGAGAGAUAGUGCAAACUAUACCCAUCAAUUCUUCUUCUGAAUCGAUCAACAAAAUUUGCAAAAAGCCCACCUAUUCUUUCUUCCAACCAUCAUUGGAAGACCCAAAUACUUAUCGAGGUUUGUAGAUAUACAGACACCCAAAAUGUUGGUAAUUGACUCCUUUACAUUAGACUUCACACUUGCACCAAAAUAAAUAAGCGAUUUAUCAAAGUUAACAUGUUGCCUCGAAACCUACUCGUACUCAAAAAUAAUAUUUUAAACUGUAUUUGCUCCCUCACACGAGGCAUCACCAAAAAAAAUACAGUCAUCCGCAAAAAACAAAUGAUUAAUCGAGAGCCUUUCCCUUCCAAUUGGAGCACCCCGCAUCAGAUCUUUCUGUUUUUCCUCAUGUAGUAGUGUAGAAAAACCCUCUACACACAUUAAGAAUAGAUAAGGACUGAGUGGAUCUCCUUGUCUCAACCCUCUCGAAGGUGAAAACCAAUCACUAGUAUCCCCAUUGAUACCCACAGUAUAGGAAACAAAAUAGGUGCACCUUAUGAUGAGAACAACCCAAUUAGUAUGAAAACCCAACCUAAGCAUCAUUCCAACAAAAAAAUCCCACUCAACACGAUUAUACGCUUUACUCAUAUCGAGCUUAAGCACAAAAUUCCCUUUUUUCUACUUUUCUUUUUCAUUUUAACAGAAUGUAAGACCUUAUAAGCAAUUAAAACAUUACCCGAACUAUAUCUUCCUGGGAUAAAAGCCCAUUAGGCUUCAUUAAUACAACAUCCCAACAUUACACUCAUACGCUCUACCAAGACUUUCGCAAUAAUUUUGUAAACCACAUUACAAAAACUUAUAGCUCUAAAAUGUGAAUGAUUUUUCAGUUUCUCAAUUUUAGGAAUUAAAACGAUAUGGGUUUUAUUAAUCUCACCCAUUUCAAUCUCACAUUUCAAAACAGAUAAGUAAUAACUAGAAAUCUCAAGUCCAACACUAUGCCAAAACUUUUGAUAAAAUAUUACUGGAAAACCAUCGAUUCCCGGGGCCUUUAUGGGUGCCAUCAUCUUAAUUGCAUGCCCAAUUUCCUCCUUAGUGAAAGGUUUGAGCAGCUCGUCAUUCAUGCUCUUUGUGAUUCGUUUCUCCACUAACCCAAGCAACCUUUCAUCAUCACCUGUCUUUGAGGCCGAGAAUAAGUUUUCAAAAUACUUUAAAGCAAUCUGUAACAUCUCAUCAUCCUUUGAAACCCAACGUCCAUCCUUCCUUUCCAAUCCAGUCAUCCGACUACGAUUUUGGUGAGUAAUAGCUACUUUGUGAAAGACACUUGUAUUCGAUCCCCAUUUUUCAACCAGUUGACUUGAGCCUGUUGUUCCCAAAAGAUCUACUCUUUAUCAGCCUCCAAAUUAAGGAUUAACUGAACAUCUGUAAUUUCGGCCAAAACCUAAUCAGAUGGAUCCCUACCAUAAAGUUCAAGCAACCGUUCCUUUAAAUCCAUUUGGUUUUUCCUUUGCUUUCGGCUCUUUAAGCGACUCCAUUGUUGGAACUGUUGUCCCACUUUCGCUAGCUUAACCGAAAUACUAACGGAUGAAUCAGCCCAAUUUUUUUUUACUUUCUCCUCGAAAGAUUGUUCUAAACACCAUAUCAAGUCUCAUAUCUCUUAUCAUCCUUCGCUUUCCUAUUGUGUCCAAAAAAACCAGACAGUGGUCCGAAAAAGUAUGACUCAAAUGCUCCACUUGAUAGCCUAAAAUAAGAUUCAUUCAUUCCAAGGUCAAAAUUCCCCCAUCAAGUCUUUCCCUUAUAUUAGUUAAUAAGAAUCUUCCUCUCUCCUAUGUAUACCACCUACCAAUGAAACCCAAAUCAUUAAGCCCGCAGUUAUCCAAAACGCUUCGAAAUUCAACCAUCUGUUAUUCUAAUCUAAGACGUCCACCCUUCUUUUCAAAGGAACUUAUGGUUUCGUUAAAAUUCUCAAUCACAAGCCAAUGGACUAUUUGAUUAUGUCUCAAUUGUCUAAGCAGCUCCCAUGACCUCUGCCUACUUCGUUCAUCAAUAUUCCCAUAAAAACUCGAUAACCUCCAAGAUUCUCCACAUUCAUUAUCAUGAAUAUCAAUAUCAAUAUGGUAAUGAUAAUAACUUUUAAAUAUAAUCAAAGAGUUACCUUUCCAAACCGAAGAUAAACCACUUUUUAAUCGAAUCGCCCCUAUAUUAAUACCGUUUUCAAAACCACAUUUCAACCUAACCAUUUCCAUCUUUUUUAAAUUUAAUUUUGUUUCCAUAAGAAACAAAAUUCGGGGAAUAAUGGCCCUCAACUUAUUUUUAAGCCUAUUAACAGUUCGUGGUCUCCCAGUCCACGGAUAUUCUAGCUUAGAAGUUUCAUUGCAUUUGGUUGCUCCACCCUGCAGAACUAGCAAUUAUAUCAUGAAGACCUCCUUCAAUGUUAUUCCCCGAAGAAAUUAUCGUAUCACCUACUACCCGUUGUCUUUUCUUGCCUUCCAUAGAAAGUAGUGGAUCAUUUUCCUCAGCCAACACCAUAUCCAUAGGCCCAUUAUCACUAUCAGCCCCAUUUAACUCCCUACUGUCUAUGUUUCGCCAGUUGUCAAUCCCCUUAGUAUCUUUUAUCCAGAUCCUAAAGGAAUAAAAUUAGGAUUUAGAUACGAUUUCUCUAUAUCACCCCUAUUUUUACUCCCAGUAUCCCUCUCUUCUCCUGAAAUUCGGCGUUUAGUGUCUCUUUCCAUAUGUAACAGUCUGCAUUCUGAACCGUUUGCUUUAUGGAGCCAUUUGCUCACAGUUGCGUUUCGCUGUCGCACCACUGCACGUAAUGAAAUACCCCAUGACUAAGUUUACCACAAAUAAAGAAAAAUAAACUAAGUUUCUCAUACUGAAAACAAGCAUAGACAGUCUGGUCCUUGCCAAUCUGAAUCUUCUUCUUUCUUUUCAAUAGAAUUAUCACAUCCAAACGAAUUCGAAUGCGCAUAAAUUUUUUGAUUUCCAUAGUCAGAAUAGAUGUAUCAUAUUCAAGAAAUUGACCCAAAAUAUCCCCAACUUGUUUGGCCGUAGUUUCCGUCAUCAAACCUGGAGGCAAAUCAGGUAUUUAGACCCAAAACUCUGAUAAAUAUAAUGAAACUAUUAACGAAUCUUCCCCCAUUUGAAUUUGUUGAAGGAAUAGUAAAUGAUUAUUGAAAAACCGUGGAGUUCCCGAAAGCACUCUUUAAAUAUCAACAUCAUGGAAAAAUUAAAAAAGAAACAUUUUUUCUCCUAAAUCCGAAAUACAAAUCCCCCAAUUUGGAUGCCAAAGAUCAACCAUGGUAUUGCAUAAAGAUGGAAAAUGAACAACACUAUCAGUCAAGCAUCGUCCUACCAAACUGAAUUGAUAAUUCUGAUCCACCACCGUAGCCUCCUCAUGAAACGCACCCUCCUCCUCAUCAAUUAGAUUCAAAUUAGCCAGUUCCUCCUCCAUCACUCAAAAACAAAGAAAAAUUGUCACACCAAAACUAAGAAACAAAACUUCGAAGAAGAAAAAGGAAGAAAUAAGAGAAAACCCCGUGUCAAAAGACAAACAAAACUUAGUGUCAAUAGAUAGACUCAUCAGAUAUCACUUUAAAAUAGCGUCGUUUUUAUUUUAGUCACUCUUAAAUUUUUUAUUUUAUUAUUUUAAUCAUUCGCUUUAGUCUAUUAUUCUCAUCAUCUUCUAUUUUGAUUUUCUUCGAUCUAUCAUCUCUGUUAUCAUUUUCAAUCUAUUACAAAUAUAUUUAAUUUCACCUUAAUUUUUAAUAAUAUUAUUUAUAACAUGUAUCUUAUUUCAUGCUUUUGAGAUAACAUAUAAUAUUAAUGUAAUUAAAAAUAAAAAUAAAAAACUUAUAAAUAUUAUUAAUUACAGAAAAAUAAUCUAUAUAAACAAUUACAUACGGUAAAAUUUUAUUUUAAUAUAUUUAAAUAUGAAAUAAUCGGCUAUGCAGUAUACCAAUGAAUUUUGCACUAAAAAUUAUUAAUGUAAAAUAGGGCUCAACCGGGUUCGAACCGGUGACCUCUUGAUCUGCAGUCAAAUGCUCUGCCACUGAGCUAUGAACCCUUUUCUGACAAGUUUUGGUAACUAGUUUUAUAUAAUGUAUAUUUUAACUUACUCUAUGUUAAAAGGGAAAAGAAAAGAAGGAAUAACUUUUCUACUGCAUUACUACGUUUGCUAUCACUGAGUUGAGACACAAUUCAAUUGGUAAUCGAUCAAAAAUCAAUAUCUUACAUAUAUAUAUUAGAUUAUGAAAUAUUAACAGGUUAAUUUUGUUGUAAAAAUAUAAAAUUAAAGUGGUAAAUUUGAGGUUUUGUAAAUGUUAUUAUAGCGGGUUUAAAAUAUUUUUUAUAGAGUUCAUGUAAAAAAAAAAAAAACUCUCGUAACAAUAUUUGUUACUUUUUUGAAUAUAAGAGCUUUCUAGUUAUUUUUCAAUUUAAUUUGUAUUCAAGCUCAAUUAGAAACUUAAAAUAUAAUGUAGAUUUGUUACUACUUAAAUAUAAAAGUAUUUUAGUCAUUUUCUAAUUGAGUUGACAUUCGAUUGACUUAUGACGUCAACUCAAUUAAAAAUUUAUAUAUGACAUAGAUAAAAAUAUUUUUUAAUUUUUUUUAUUUUAACGGAAAAUGGCACCAUAUUGAAAAUCGAACAAAAAUCCUUUAUCCCUUCUUUAUGUCCUUGCGAUUUAAGUUUUUUAAAACCAAAAACAUAUAAUGGUAAAUAACCCAACAUAGAGCUUUCACAAAUGGGGAUUCCUGACUUUUUCAUAGAAAUCACAUCAGAAUUAAGGACCAAAGGAAUUUUUAUGUCCUAACACAUUAAUCUGCAAAAAAAGUUUCUUAAAUUUUUUAGAAAAGGAGAAACUAUAAUUUUCAACUUCUGCAAAAAGUAGUUGAGAGAAAAUUUUUUCUCUUUUAUUUAAGAAUAUUCUUUUGUCCCAAAAGUACUUUUGAGAAACAUUCUUAAAUUAGACCUAAAUCAAUAUUAUCGAUCUAAACUUACUAGCGUUCCUUCUUUUGCUCUUUAAUACUGCCUCAUUGGUUCAUGUUUUUUUAAUUUCAUGGACAUGGAGAAGUCCUUUGCAUCCUUCUAAUAUUAAAAAAAUAAUAAUUAAAUGUAUUAUUAUUGUAUAACCAAAAAGUUCUCCAAAAAUAUUAAAUUGUAUACUUUUUUUUUUCAAAUUUCCCUUGUGUUGUAAUAAUUAAGUUUAAGAAAAGUUGGGAAUUAUUAUUGUAAUAAUUUAUUAUAGUAAAAAGUUGUGGUAUCAAAGAAAUGAUUAUUGUAACAAUUGAAUAUUAGUAAAAAAUAUAAACCUUGAUAGAAUUAGACUUGAUCAUGGGUUGGGUAGAUACAAAAUUUUAGGUAUAUUUUAUAUGCUCGGGUCUAGCCUGACCCGAAAAAUGAGCAUAAAAUUUUGCUUAAGUUUGGCUUAGAUUAAAAAUACUAAACUUGAGUCCAGAUUCAUUAUUAUUAAUCAUUAAUCGCAGUUUAAGAUUACAGUAAUUCAUUUUAAUAUAACGACAAAAUUAAUUUAAUUAUUCAAUUUAACCUUUUGUGUCUUCUUUUUCUUUUAUUUUUCAUAAUCUUAUUUCUUCACUUCUUCUCCAAGUUAUUCAUAAUUUUAUAAUUAUAAAACUAGAUGAAAAUUGAAAUACAAUUAAAUUAAAAAUGAAUAAUCCAUUUAUAUUCAUAAUUUUAUGUACUCCAAUAAGUUUGUAAAAUUUAUAUUUUAAUACUUUAAUUUUCAUAUUUCAUAUUUCAUAUUUCAUAUUUCAUAUUUAUCCACCUAAAUCAUAUAAAACAAAAUUAAUAUAAAAUUAAUUUUUUUAAUUAAAUUAUUGAUAAACAAAAAUUGUUUAACAAUGUUUAGCAUAAAAUUUUAUAUAUUCAUAUGAGUAAUAUAAUUUUAUUACUAUAUUAAAUAAUUAUUUAAUUAAUAAAUAUUAUUAGAAGCUUUUGACCUAAAUAUUAUAAAAAAUAUUAUAUGUUUAAAAUUAUUUACCAAAACAAUAUAGGAUGAAGAUUUGAGAUCCCAAUGUAAGAAUUUUUUGUCACCUCAACAUUCCAAGUUAGAUAUAAAAAAUAAAAAUAAAAUCUAAAUUAUUGUUUAAAAGAUAAUAUUUUAGGAAAUAAAUUGGGAUACAUGUAAUUUUGAUAAAAUAAUAAUUAUUUUUAUAAUAUUUUAGUAAUAAAAAAGAGAUAAUUUACAAGAAUGUUUUUAUAUAGAAAAUAUUAAAAUCAAGUUUAACCCUAAAAUAAAUUUAUAAACUUGAACCUACUAUGCUGUAGUCCCUAAAACCAUAAAUAUACCGUUUCAGUGUAAUAAGCCAGUCUAUAUAUAUAUGAAAAGGAGAAAAAAGAAAAAAGGGAAAGAGAGAUAAACGAAGGAGAAAGAGAAACGAAAACACAGCGAAAAACAGAGACAAAGGAUUCAGAAAAACAGAGAGAGAGAGAGAGACAACUCAUUACCUUCAAGCACAAUGCAGGAGUUGCCAUCAACUACCACAACCAUACUCCUUUUCGGAAUCUGCCAUCACUGAACUUCCCUUUCCACCUCUUUUCCAUUGUCCGACGGACCGCCGAAAUGCCGUCGCAUGCGGCGUUUCAAUUGGUUUUCUCCGGGAUUUCAUCUCCGACAUAGUUCUGUUUAACAAAAAAUAAAGGGGAAAAACUUUCUUUCUUUUCUUUUUGUGUUCAAAUCUGGAAGAAUAUAUUGUGGCCGUCCGAUUCUAUUCUCGACAAUGGUGAUGAAAGCAUGGAUGGUGGUGGAAAAAGGGCGGAGGAUCGUACGGACGGCGAUUUUCAUGGUGGCUAUGUUAGCGUCGCUUAUAGGAUCGUCUCUGCCGUUGCUGGUGGCGUUAGGCGACAUCAUGGUCCCUUUCCUUUUACUCUCAAGCUUCACGUGCGUCACCUGCUACAGUUUCAACCAACACUUUCGGCUUUACGCUUUCAAAAACUCCUUAACCGAUAUCCCUCUCGUUUCCAUCCUCAGAUCUAUCAUCAUCACUUGUACGAUCUCUCUCUUUCAUUGUUGAUAAAAAUAUAUAUAUAUGAAAGGAAUCAUUAUACAUUUUCUCAUUUUGUUUAUGUUUAUAAUUUGCAGGUGUAUAUUCGAUGUGUGAUGGCCCAGCAUUAUCCCAUGGACCUUAUGUAGGAACGGUUACUUUAUGCGCAUUUGUUUCGAUUAUUCUACUUUCAAUUAAGGCCUGUGUUUUUACGGUGAAUUCUGGAAUAGAGGCAGAGGCAUCCUCGUCGGCUUAUUCGUUGACAAGCCAAAGGCUUCAUUGGAAGAAAUCGUGGGGAAUGCCUGUUUUAUUUCUUUCAUCAGUAGUUUUCGCACUUGGUCACACUGUAAUUGCUUAUAGAACAAGUUGCAGAGCAAGGAGAAAGCUUUUGUUUCAUCGAGUUGACCCUGAAGCUGUAAGUUUUCGAGCUUCCUUUUAUUUUCUUUUUUUUUUUCAAUUUCUAUUUUGGGUUUUUCAUUUUAUAAGGUAGUCAUUGGGUUUUUCAAUUAGUGUUCUUGUUUCACAGAGCAAUUUCCUCUUUUUUUUUCUUCUAAAAACAAAAAGCUUGAUUUUACUUGAUAUAACAUAAUUAUGCUGGGAUUAAAAAAAAAAUCUCGUUCGUUUCUAUUAAUUUUGCUUUCUGAAUAAAAAAAAAGCAGCUUUUGAAGAAUAAAAAUGCGUUUUUACGCUAGUAUGAAAUGAUUAUGUUAGAAUUGGUUCUGCAUUAUAGUUGUCUUAUUGUUUUUCUAGCAAUUAUUUAGGCGCAAAAAUUUAACCACAAAGUGAAGUAACUAAAUGAAUACAGAAACAAAAUUCAGUCGUUUUAGGAGUUAAUUUCCACCUUUCAUGGCUUUUGGUUCCUUAGUAGGAAUAUUGAUAUUUUCUUUUCGAUGUAACAUUCAUGUUAUUGCAGGUUCUUUCUUGCAAGAAUGUUUUCUCUGGCUUCCAGAAGGUUCCACGGUCUCCCACUCCCUCUGCAGGGAAAACUCCAAAAAGUGAUAGUGAAACAAGGCGAAAGCCUUUUGGGCAACCUCAUGAUGAACGGGAACUCCCUGCUAGAUUACUUGCUGACAUUGAUAGCUUAUUCAUUGCACUGCAAGGGCUUACCAUUCAUUACAAGCUUUCCUUUCCUGGUUCACCCCCUAGGUCUUUGUCAUCUACUACCUUUCUUGAACCUAAAGUUACUUGCACACCACAGGUGGCUACCGGAAAGCUAAAGCUUGAUAGGCAAGCACUAAGCUUGUCAAUAAAAACGCAAUCUCACCAUCUUCAGAGGAGCUAUAGCAAUCAAUUUCACAGCUCUUCUCUUUCUGCUCCACUGUUGGAUGGUUCCCCAAAUUCUCCUGUUCGUUCUGAAGAUAUUCCUGUUUUCAGGCUUGACGACUCAGUUGCACAGGUUGAGACAAGUCAUUUGAACUCUGGCACUCUACAACAAGAUAUAGAGGCAAGUGGUGAGCUUGGUAUCAUUUUAGUGCAUGGUUUUGGAGGGGGAGUCUUUUCUUGGAGGCAUGUAAUGGGAGUGCUUGCUCGCCAGGUUGCUUGUUCAGUUGCCGCUUUUGAUCGGCCUGGUUGGGGAUUGACUUCUAGGCCUAGCCGGAAGGACUGGGAGGGAAAAGAGUUGCCCAAUCCUUACAAGCUUGAAACUCAGGUUAGGUUUAACACUCUUUUGGAUGCUAUGUGGUAAUUUAGGAGUGAUAUGCUCUUGUGGCAGGAAGGAUGCAUUACCAGAUUAAAUGCUUAAAGUGUUAUACAUAUAAUUGGGAAGUUUUUUUUUUUUUUUUUGGUUUAUAAGCACUUCCUAUUGCUGUAGGCCUCUCCUAAUUUAUUGAUCUGCAGUUCGCUGUAACUUUUAAUAUAUUUCUUGUCAGUUUUUUUAUUUAAUCAGUCAGAAGUACUUAAGUAUUAUUACCUGGUAUUUUCAGGUUGACUUGCUUCUUUCCUUUUGCUCUGAGAUCGGGUUUUCUUCAGUAGUGCUUGUUGGCCAUGAUGAUGGAGGCCUGCUUGCUUUGAAGGCUGCACAAAAAGUCCAAACUUCAAUGAAUUCGUUCAAUGUAAGCUCUCAUGAUGUUCCUGUCUCAAUUUGGAUGUUUUAGACAACAAAAGUGUAUCCUACUUAUUCGCUACUGUGGCUAGUUUUUUACUGACACAUCUACAUUAUUGGCACUUUUGUGGUUGUAUAGCUACUUGAAAUAGUCACACAAGAACGUCUCAGGGUUGGCUAUAGUAGACUAAUGUGUUGUUUCCCACAGUAGACUGUCAGAAUAAACAAAAAUGAUCUAUUUAUGUUGAGCGUAGAAAAGUAACAAGUAUUUUGGUUCAAUGGUUUUACUUUUACCAUUUUCCAGGAAUCUUACCUUUUUCUCCUUAAACUUUACUGCAAGGGUCAUUUUGCAAAUUUGGCCUGUUGUCAACUUUAGCUUAAUGCGUUUAAGCUUGGUUCUUACUUACACCGUUUGGUUUAUUUUGUGGUUUACUCAGAUUACAAUCAAAGCAGUGGUUUUGCUAAACGUUAGCUUGUCAAGAGAAGUUGUUCCCGCCUUUGCAAGGAUACUCUUGCGCACUUCACUUGGGAAGAAGCACUUGGUUCGUCCGCUUCUGCGAACAGAAAUCACACAAGUGGUAAAUAGACGUGCAUGGUAUGAUGCAACCAAGUUAACAACGGAUGUUUUGAGCCUCUACAAGGUAAAUUUCAUAUAACCUUUCUAGUUCGAUGUUUCUGUUUGUUUACUAAUUUGAUUUGUUGAAUUGAUCAUCCUCCUUCAAUCAGGCCCCACUUUGUGCAGAAGGUUGGGAUGAAGCACUUCAUGAGAUAAGCAGGUUGUCAUCUGAAACAAUCCUUUCACCACAAAAUGCAACAUCACUGCUAAAAGCUAUUGAAGAGAUGCCAGUAUUAGUCAUUGCUGGUGCUGAAGAUGCCCAUAUUUCUCUUAAAUCUUGCCAGGCCUUGGCUUCAAAACUUGUAAAUUCUGUAAGUAGUCUGCAACAAUUUAUAUCCUCUGCUCUCAAAUUGAAAGAUCUGGCAUACAGAAACUUUACUCUAAACUCAUUUGUUCAGUGUUCUUACACGUAACAUGUUUACACCAUUUCUGCGUUUUGUUGCCAUAUUACGAGCCAGAAUUGCUGGUACUCUUUGAAUUUCUUGUUUAUGAACAACAAACUAAUGUCGUGUUUCAUGAUGUUGCUAUGCAGAGAUUGGUUGCAAUAUCUGGAUGUGGCCAUCUACCACACGAGGAGUGUCCCAAGGCAUUGCUUGCAGCCAUCUCACCUUUCAUACACAGAUUGCUACAUAAACCAGAAUAGCAAAGUCAGUAGGACACCUCUUUCUUUAACUUGCAUUACCAUGGUUCUUAUCUCUUUCUUUGGGCUUUCUAUAUUUUUUCUGUAUUUUCGUUUUUCCCUUUUAUUUUCAAGCAAUCUUUCCCCGAAGGAUGAGAUAAAUCAGACCCUCUUCUUUUGGGUAAUUUUGAUGUGUUCUGAGCCUCACCCUAACCCUAAUUCUCUGGGGUGCUUGUAGAGCCUGUAUUUUUAAAUUUUUUUUUAUACUGAUGUUUGUUUUAACAGUCCUAGGUAUCUGAGUGGCAAAAUGGCAUAUAAUUGUACAUUUAUGAAAAUUGAUUAUGAAUGGCAUUUGAGCAUUGUGUCAAAAUUCAGAGAUAGUUUGGAUUGCAUUAUUUAUUUUUGAAUGUCCUAUCUAAUUGUACGAACCAAUUUAGGUAUAUGCUGGGGUUUGGAUUACUCUUAUUUAUGCUUGAUUUUGAGUUUUUACAAAGGUGAUUGAAGUUGUCAAAAACCAUGGGCUUUAAGUAAUAAAUGGAAAAAACACAUACAGUAGGACAAGAGAGAAAAGUUGAGCAAAGGAAAUGAUUGUUGUAUUUAUUUGGAUACUUAAAAUCAGCAACAAAUUGAUUUUCAUUUAUGAACCACCUCAACAAGACUUGGAAGGCAACUUAGUCCCCUUCUAAGGGAACCCGAAGAAGAAUUGUAAAUUGAAGCCACCUGAAUCAACAUAAUUGCUUUACUAAAAAGCUAGUAUCCACAUUUUGUGCAGGCAAAAGACAGGUCUCUAAACCAUUUUUCGGGGGGCAACGCUGGCAAAGAAUCAAGUCAAUAAAUUACUCCUUUGAGGACUUGUUGACAAGUGAUUCGUGAAUGUGUGGGAUAACACCACCGCCUGCUAUGGUUCCCUUGAUCAAGGUCAUCACCCUGGAUAGCAAGUUGCAGAUGCCUAGGUGUAAUAUGCUUAACCUUCUGCAUUACCUGCCAGUUCUAGCACUUGUGCAGUCAGGUACUCCAGCAUUUACACAGCAGCUCUGGCUCUCACUCUUCCAUUUACUUUAACCUUUGUCUUCAGCAAUCGGUGCACCGACCCACAGGGAACUAUAGCGUGUAUACGUAAAACAAUAUGAAGCACUGGUUAUAAUUUUGAACUUGCGAUGAGGACUUUCGCUUCUCAACAUGAGACUAUUCCGUAGACCAUCAGAAACAAACAACACAUCACAAUCAAACAUCUCAUCCUAAAAUCGGAAAUAUGAUGUGGUUAGUUAUAAUAAUAAUGUGAUACACUUGGGGGAAAAUUCAUGUUUAAACCUUGAAAACAACAUUGUUAGAAGGGAUAACAAUAAAUUUUAAAUGUUGACUCUAAAACGAAAAUGAAGAAUACUAGUAUAAAUUACCUAACUAAACCAGCUAAACAUCGGUCAAUUAUUUAAUAUUACCCUUAUAAUCAAUUUAAUCACCGAAACAAUUUCAAUUGAAAUCUUAUUUGAUCAAGUCGAUUUUAACUUAUACUCUUUUCUACACAUUAUUUUUGUAAUGACAACUAUGAUUAAUUUUGAGAAAAAAAACAAAUAGAAAAAAAUAAUAGUGUUUAGAUGGUGUUUUAAGUAUAAAUUAAAAAAAUAGUUGCUAAACAGUAGCAACCUUUACUUUUAAUUUAAUUUAAUUUGCAAUUAAUUUUGAAUUUUUAUGAUCUAAAAACAACUAUUUUUUUAUUUAAAAUAAUGAAGUAAAUUAAAAAUUCUCUCUAUAAUUAAAAGUAAUAAUAUAUAAGAGUUAUUGAUUAUUAUUUCUUAUUUAGAUCCUAUUUAAUUAAGUGUUGAAAAUUAAUAUUUUCAGCAAGUUAAUUUUUGAAACAACUCUCACCUUUCCUUUUCCUCUCGACGGCCCGACGUCAUUUUUAACAUUCAAUAGUUCAAUAAUAGAAACAACAUUAGUUUACAUCUAAUUAACAUUUAAAUACAAAGUCAAACACAUUUUGUAUUUUAUUUAAUUUAGUCCCUGUCACACCCCAAUUGGCGAGUUGGUCUGAUUUGUGAGACUACGUUGGCAAAGAUUGCCUAAGUUGCAAAGCUUAGACCGAUUGAUGAUGGUAACUUGUGGUGAAGUGCUUCGUAGAACUUCACCAAUACAAUAGAGUUCCACUUUGCGAUAUGAUGAGUUCUUGAUUGUGGUGCGAACCUUAUGAGACAGACUUUCCAGCUAAUAAGAUCGCCAUCUGUGUUUUUGGUGUCACUACUAAAGUAAGCAUGAUAGCCUGUGGGACACGUUUAAGUGACCUACAUCCAAGUGGAGGCAGUGUGUCAGUAAUUAGGACACUUGUAGAGCCUCAUAGGAUGUGAUUAAUUAGUACAAGCAUGGGAGAACGAGUAAUGAUUAGAGAUAAUCCCGAUUGGAAUUUGGACGUGAGUUAUUUAUAGAUAGGAUAACGUGAUAGCUAAGAUAAGAUUUUUGAUUCAUCUUCUCUGCUAGACUUUGUUAUCAUCAAAGAAAUCAGGAGAGUUAUUUGUUAACGAAGGUGUUAACUGUUAAAGCUUAGGAGAGUUUCUAUACCAAUUGUCUCUUGGUAAAUUCUUAACCCUUCCUUUAAGCUUUAUCAAAUAGAUAGAAACUAACAUAAUAGAGGCUUGGUAGGAUUUCUUUAAAUAUUAUGUAUAAAAAACUUCUAUCCAAAAACUAUUUGCAUGUCUACAUAUUCUUGUUAUAUCAUAAAGUUUUGGUCUUUUUUUAUGUUUAAAGAAGUUUUUUUAGCUAAAAAAAUAAGAGAAGGUUCCAAUACUAAAGGGAGUGAACCAGUAGAGUAGAUAAAGCUUUGAGUAAAGUGUCCUGGUGAGUUCCUUUAUACUUUGAGUCUGGUAUCUGCGUUAAUUCGUUUAAUCUUUAUCACUGUACAACCAGGUAAGUAGCUUUGUCCUUCGUCUCUGAUGUUCAUGUCUAAUGAAACAUAUUCAAAGAGUCAGUGCAUGCAAGAUUAUAUACGGUUAAAUAGACCCAGAAAACCUGAUAUUUUCAUGGUAUGAGUACUCCUUUCUUAGUGCACAAGCUCCGUAUCCAAACUGGUGUAAGAAGGCAAUGGAGGGUUGUCAUGUAAAAUGAUAAAGAAGAUACAUGAGGAACACAUAUCUAUUCAAAUAAGGAGGGAAGUUAGGAGGAUACAGAGGUGAUGUUUGUUUAAUAACUCUACUGAAGGGAUAUGAAAAUACAAGAAAAAUGAGUUCUUUAGAACCAAGAUCAUAAACUAGCACAAGGAAGGGAGUACGUGAGAAAAAGGUGCAUAUGGUAGUGCACGUUGCAUGAAAAGUAAAGUCUGUCAGUCAUAAAAGGGUAGUCUACACAAGUGGCGUAUCCGCGGAGUAGUUGUGCCCAUAACUGUCAUUUAUGAGUUUAGAAACCGAUGUUAUCCGUCGAUAGGCUGAGUUUGAUUGCGGUAGAAUCCGCCAGUUGAUCUACGGAUAAGAGGGAUGUAUCCGCCAAAUGUGGCGAACUAGUCCGUUAGUUUGAGCCUUAUUCCUUAAUGUCUGACAAUACUAUUGGUGGGAUUUAUUUCCCCAGGAACUCACUAAGUUCUCACGAACUUACCCAAUUUCUUCUUCCUUUCAGGUUCUUAGGUUGAGUGUGGUGAUUGAAGGGAUACAGCUAGAUCUACGACCAUUUGUGAGCCUUCUUGUUUUCGUGGGUAACAUGUAUUUGCUAGGGGGUGCUAGGACAAUUGUUAGAUAUCACCAUUUUAAAACCAUUAAUUUGUACUUGAAACGUUAUUUUGAACACUUUAAAUGUUGAUUGGUAGCCUCGUUGGCUUAUCUGUAUUUUUUUUAUUUAUAAAUGUUGUUUGAGCUACCGCAAAAGGCUAUUCCUUGUAUCUUUAAAUCUUUAAGUGUGGCAGGGUAUCAUUUUAAAUUUUGCUUCCAAAUAAAUUUAGUCUUAAAUGAACAGAAUAUCGUGUUGAAAAAAGGGUACCCACCAAAAUGGACAAUUGUUUCAAAAGUAAGAAUGGCGCGUUUCCAACAGGCCGACCUGUGGUGCUCCAUACCCGGAUUCGACGAUUGGGUCAGGCGUAGGGUGUUACAAUCCUUAUACUCGGGAUAUGUGUAUUUUUCGAUAUCUAGCAUUGGAUCAGAAUUUGAUUUCACAUUCUUUCAUUAGGAAUCAUAUACUUUCUAUUCAUAACAUAAUUUCAUAACAGAUUUUUCAUUAUUCAAUUUAGUCCAUAAUAUUACAAAAUCAUCUAACAAGCUUAAUCCAAUUUCCAAUUUAGUCUUUUUUACAAUCUAAGCUUACCAACUAUCAAUUUCAAGCCUAAUUCAUCAAUUUCUUAAUAAUGAAAACUUUCUAAAAACUUAAUAAUUGAAUAAAUUGAUAUAUGGACUAACUAAAUCAAGCUCCCAUAAUCAUAAAUUUAUAAAAAUUAUAAGAAAAAAAAACUUGAUUACCUUAGUUUAUUGCUUGGCCGAAUGUUGAAUGAAAACUUAAGGUUUUUCUUUCUUUCAACAAUGGUGGACGGUGUAAAUGAGGAAAAUAAUGAUGGUUUUCAUUUUUUUUCCACUUGUACUUUAAUAUUUAUAAUAUGAUUAAACCUUAAUUAUGGUUUAUUAUACUUUAAUUAACUAGUAAUUAAACUUAGUGGUAACCACCAUCACCAUUCACUAAAUGGUUAAAUAACCAUUUUAGUCUUUUAGAUAAUUGUUAUAUAAGUCCCCAAGAUUUUUCUAAAUUAAAAUUUAAUAGUGAUUGGACUUUUACAAUUUAGUCCCUAAAUUUUAAUUAACUAUUUUCUCAGCUAAAUUACUUAAUCGAACUUUAUUAUAUUUUCACAUUAACUCUAUAAAUAUUCCUAUUUUAUAUUUACGAACUCGAUUUAUGUAAAUGAGGUUCCAAAAAUGCAUUUUUCGAUACCACUGGAAAUUAGAUUGUUACAUUCUACAUUAAGUGAGAAGUAGCUACCUACCUACUUAUCUUAUUCUGACACUUAUUUGUUCAAAGUUUUAUAUUAAGUAAAAAAAUUACAAUGAUUAUCAAAUACAUUUAAACAAAGUUCAAAUCUUAGAGUCAACAUUGUUAGGAGGGCAUUAAUUGAAUACCAUCCUCGGCCCGAAUAGGAUUUUACGAAUGAGGACGCCUGUGGUUUAUGCUAAAAAAAAGGCAAACACAUUUAAAAUAUUAAAUGCUGAAAAUUUUCGUUUCAAUAAUUUAUCAAAUACACCCUUAAUAUAGAAUAGAUUCAAUUAUUUUUUAUUUAAUUCUAUUUCAUUUAAAUAAAAAAAAUCUAAUUAUAUUCAAUAUUUAAUUUGAAGCAAUAUACCAUAACUUAAAUUCAACAUUUAAUUUUUCAGUUUAUCAAAUAUAGCCUUAAUUAAAAUUUAUUUUUUUAGAAAUAUUUAUAAAAAAGACUUUAAAAUUUUAUAAAUUAAAAUCUGGAAAUCUAAAAUUAAUAUAAAAAGAUGGAUAAUUAAACUGAAUUGAAUUAUCUUGAACAGCUACAAAAAAUCUAAUUGACUUCAUCCCAAGUAUAAACUUAAAUGAUGAGAGACACUUGUGAAGGAAAGAUUAGCUCAGGAAAUGCAUGGCAAAACUUCCCAUACAUGACCUAUAUGUUAACUCCAAUCACGCAAAUCAAGAUAUAAAAUCUCAACUUAGGUCAACAAAAUUAGAUUGAAAAAGACGUGGUAUAAUUUUACAUAAUCAAAAAUUAGAAACCCUUAUUUGCAAAACUGAAAAGAUGCCAAAAUCUCUCACUACUUGACUAUGUAAUGAAGGUCUCCUUCAAAGGUGUUUUCCAUGUUUUUUCCUGCUCUCCAACUACCCUGCUAUAUAUAUCCUUCAUAUGUAGAUAUAUUUUCCAUUUUCUCUUCAUAUUUAGCGAUCAAAAUUUAUUUACUUUUCCAAAUCCAAUCAUUUACACCACAUUAGCAAACUUAUGGUUAAAAUUUCAAACCCUACUUUGCAUCCCUUCUUAAGAAAAUAAAAAAGCAAAAUAUUUUAAUUUUGUUUUUAAGUACAUAAACCAUUACAAUUGUGUUAUAGUUUAGUUACGUAAUAUAACAUAAUUAAAUAAUUGCUUUCCCUUUUAAAGAACUUGAUUCAAAAGGAUCAAAUUAGGAUUUUUUUUCUAUUUUUUUUAAAAAUUUCUAUUGCUAUUGUUGUUAAUUUGGAGAAAUGGAGAAGAAAAAGGUGGCUUUACCGUUAGUGUGCCAUGGGCAUUCAAGGCCGGUAGUUGAUUUGUUCUACAGCCCCAUUACCCCUGAUGGGUAUUUUCUUAUCAGUGCCAGUAAAGGUGUGGCUUUUAUUUUCUUGUUGUUGAUUAAAUUUGGGGUUUCUUUUGAAUUUUGUUUUAGUGAUUUUUUUUGUAUAAAUCAGCUACGUAUAUGAAUUUAGAUGCGGGAAUGUCGAAUUAGGUUUGAGGUUUUCGUUUGAUUUAGUCUGUUCUGAUCAUAUUAAUUUUCAGCUUUGAAUUUAUUUCUUUAUACUGUUUUGAACUGCCUUUUUCUUUGAUGAGUCCGUUCCCUAAUCAUUUUAGGGAGAUACAAUAUUGAAAUAUCAUUGCUUUGCGCUGACAUUUAGCUAUUAUUUAUUCGUAAGCAAGUAUAAAUUACCAUUGUUAUGUCACUUGAAAUGGUAUGAUCAUUUUGAAGCAAGAAUUCUAGUUUGUGGUUGAUCAGGUUGUUUAUGGGAUUUGUUUUAAUGUUAUUGUUAAUCAUCUCUCCUGUCAUAAUCCAUUUUUAUAGGUUGUCUUGGCAUAGUGAUUCGGUAAUUUCUUGCUAUGUUGGCAUUUUCUAGUUUCUAUUUUUUUUCUGAGAAGUCAUAGCAGAUGACAGUGAUUAUGUGUGCAUUCUGGUGAUGUUGAUUGAUUCCAUUUAGCUUCUUGUUUAUCAACUCUCUUUCUAAUGAUGCAUUGGGAAUUCAGACUCCACUCCAAUGUUAAGAAAUGGGGAGACUGGAGAUUGGAUUGGCACAUUUGAAGGGCAUAAAGGUGCAGUAUGGAGCUCCUGUCUGGAUACCAAUGCAUUACGUGUUGCAUCUGCCUCGGCUGAUUUUUCCGCGUAUGUAAUUUUUGUUCAGCCGUAGAAGUAACUUUUUUUGGCGGAAGAAAUUUUUAUUGUGCAAAGGGAUACCAAAUUCCACCGUUCCAACCUAUUUUCUCACACUUAUAUAUUCUAUUAAGCACUCACCAGAAAAUAAAGGGACCUCAUCCUUGUGGAUUACCACACUCUCUGUCCCUUAUCAACUAGUUGUUAGGAGUACGGUUAGUGAGGCUCUGAUAGAACUUGGUGGCAAUUUUUGUACUUAGUAGGUUCAGUUCUUGGGUUGUGCUAAUCAAUUUAAUAACUGGAAGGUAUCAACUACUAGAUUUUUCAGAUAUCCCUUCCAAAAUGGCAAAAUUACCAAAGUGCUUGUCUUUCUUUCAUUUGAGGUCCAUGCUUGUCUUUCUAAAUAUAGGAAAUUCGGAAUUACAUGUGUAUGAACUAUUAAAAGUUGAUAUUGAUUUUCUUCUUCUUCUUCUUGUUGUAACUCCUCUCACCCGCACAGCCAUUCUCAUGGUGUCAUUUUUAGUGAGGAUAGUUGGUUGAAAAGUGGGGCUCAUCAUUUUCCUUCAAUAUUUCCAGGAAACUAUGGGAUGCAUUGACUGGAGAUGAAUUGCACUCAUUUGAGCACAAGCAUAUUGUUCGAGCAUGUGCAUUUUCGGAGGUUGAGCUUAAUUGCUUUUCCAUAAGAAUUCUUUUCCCUAAUUAUAAAUUUUCAUUUAAUGCUUAAGCCCAUUGCAAUGUUAUUUCUGAUUAUGAUGUUCUGGGUAGCAAGUAUUCUAUCAGAUUUGUUUCUCAUGGGCAAUUUUAUUUUUGUGAUUAAAUAUCAGCACUAUUUCUUUCUAUUUAGAUAUUAUUACAAGAAGGUUGUAUUUCUUGAGAUGCCAGUGGUUAUGCUUUCAAGGUAGCAUGUGUAUUGACCCAAUAUAAGCAAGCUUCCAAAGCAACUGACUUUGAAAGAACUGCAUUAAUCCAAUGGUUUGAAUUCUUAUUUUGAAAUUUGUCUAUGUUUGUUGUACUAUUGAAAAUAUUUUGCAUACUUUCAUAAGCUCAUCUUUCUUUUUUCUAUAUGUUAUUAUUCAUGUGUCUCUUUGGCACUUAAAUCAUUUGCUAGGUCCAAUUGUGUAUCCUUUUUGUUUGAUGGACUGAAGUUGCCAAAGUCAUUUAUGUGAGCUUUAGCGGUUGCUUUUUCUUAUUCAUGAGACCUUUACAAAUUUUAAAAUUUGUUUGUACAUAAUACAUGAUAUUGAGUUUAGAUUGCAAUUAACUUCUUGAGGCUUGCACUCACAUUCCUGCUUCAUUAAUAAAUAUACUCUUCAGCUGAGGAUAAACUUCUUCUGAGUAAAUUGUCAUUUUUACAGGAUACACACCAUCUACUCACGGGUGGAGUUGAGAAAAUUCUUCGAAUAUUUGAUUUGAAUCGUCUUGAUGCAGCACCAAGAGAAGUGGAUAAUUCGCCUGGUUCAAUUAGAACUGUUGCAUGGCUCCACAGUGACCAGACCAUUUUAAGUUCUUGUAGUGAUACUAGUGGUGUUAGGUAUGAACAUGUUCUAUAGAUGUCACCUUUGCAUUUUUUUUCCUCUGUGGUUUCUAUAAUUACUUUAACAAGUUAGGAGCUUGUUUUAGUUUAGAUAUUUCGUUUGCAUCAGUGUCAUACAUGUCUUGAAUUAGUGUAGCAUCAUUCUAGGGCUUUGAGAUAAGGUGUUUGAUGGGUAGAGUCUAGACUAUUAUUGGCUUGCAUUGAACACUUGAGCUAGCUUAAUGAAUGUAUAUUGUUUAUUAAUUUUAAAAGUCAAGCUUGAACAUUUAAGGGCAUUUUUGCAGGUUAUGCAUCCUUGUUUCCGAACAUUCCUUGGGUUCAGUUUAAUCAGCCUAAGAACGUGCUGAUGCCACAAUUUGAAAUUAUAAAUUGUUUAGUAUAGGGCCAUAUGGAAAGUUUUUGAAAGUAAGAAAAAGAAGUAGGUGAUUUUAGUUUAGGUUGUUGGUAAAUAUUUCACACACACACAUUAUAUGUAUGUAUAUUGAAAACCAUGUCUUCCAUAUUUGAUUGUACGGUGUAUUCUCAAACCUUUGAUGCAUAAAAUAAAUUACAGAUUUAUAGGAAAAAGUCAAUUUAGCAUUGAUUUUCUCGCAAUAAUAUUAUUGUCUAAAUGAUUUCCUGAACCUUGUACCUUAGGUUUUGGGAUCUUAGAAGUGGCAAAAUUGUUCAAACACUUGAAACAAAAUCACCCGUCACUAGUGCUGAAGUGAGUCAGGAUGGUCGCUAUAUAACCACCGCUGACGGAUCUACUGUUAAGUUUUGGGAUUCAAAUCAGUAAGUUUUAAGCCAGUUUGUGCAAAACUUUAUUCUUUUGGCACCAUGGCUGCUGACAUUUGUAUUUGCUCUUAUUAGUUUUGAGUUGGUGAAAAGCUACGACAUGCCAUGCAAUGUAGAAUCAGCUUCAUUGGAGCCAAAGCAUGGCGAUAAGUUCAUUGCUGGUGGAGAAGAUAUGUGGGUGCACGUGUUUGAUUUUCAUACUGGAAAAGAGCUUGGUAGGUGCCUCCUAUGUUUGGGUUUCCAAAAAAUAAAAUAAAAUAAAGGCUAUAUGUUUGGGACUUAAAAAUUAGCUAUGCCAAAAGUGGAUAUCUUUGAAUGCUACACAAAGGAGGAUUGCAACAUGUUUCCCAGUAUACCUUGCUAUAUACUCAAUAGAAUGGUAAAUAUGCUGCAAGUCAUAAAAAAAAUCUAAAAACCGUAAAGGAUGGAUCCCAUCGAAGCAGAUGAGUGUAGUUUGUGAAACUGGUUGUGUGAUGUUCUUUUCUACUGGUGUUUGUCAGAUUGUUAAAGAGUUCAAAAUGUGCAUUUUAUCAAUGUAGGUUGCAACAAGGGUCACCAUGGUCCUAUCCACUGUGUACGUUUCGCACCUGGAGGGGAAUCCUAUGCUUCUGGAUCUGAAGAUGGCACCAUUAGAAUAUGGUUGACAAGUCCAGUGAGUCGUGAAGAGAGUGAUGCAGUACCUGGAAAUGCACUAAAUCCAAAAGUGAAGGCUGUGGCUGAUGAGGUUACCCGUAAGAUCAAGACUAGCCUUCAUAUUGGCACCGCGUAGACGCAUGACAUAGUAUUAAAGUUGUAGAUGACAUCAAGUGUUCGUUUUCAACUUUGCUUGCCAGGUUGUAGGAUUAUGGGUGUGAGUAUUUCUUGCUUUUGUUUUUGGGUACAGAAACAUAUAUAGAAUUUUUUUCUUUUUCUUUUUUGUUUAUUCUCAAUGGAAAUAAAAUGAACUCUCUUUUCAAAUUGCCUUGUAUGUUUGUUUCGAGUUUGAUUUUUGAUCUUUAAAAACUUGUGAACCUUUUGGUUUUCUUGAAGGUGGCAGAUCAAUGGAUGCUGUUGAACCUGAUACUUGUAUGGAAACCAUAGGCUAAAGUCCCUGUUCUUUUUAGGAAAACAAUAUUUUGAACUGUUGGAAGCCAUCGGAUUUCUGCAAAACUACGAAUUAAAUAAUCUAUUGAAUGUAAAAUAAUUGAUAAAGAAGGAAGGGCACAUGAAAGCUUUGACUUUUUUAAUAAUCUGAUAAUGAUCUAUUUUCACAUGUUACAGCUAUGUGUUUUUCCGUUUGACUUCCUGUUUGGUACUCUCAUCUAUUACGACUUUUCAUUUCUCUGCAAAACAAUCAACCAGGUUUCUCCUCUCUUGUCUAAUCCACACCAAUGUCACCUUUUCCGACUGAUAUGAUUCCUAACAUACUUUGUCGGCUUCCAGUGAAGACACUACUCCGCUUCAAAUGUGUGUCCAAACCAUGGGGUUCUCUCAUAGAUGACUCACAUUUUGUCAAAAGUCAUCUCCAUCAGUCCUUGAAAACCAACAACAAUGUCAAGCUUUUCCUCGAUAACGGUGCAGAAAUCGACGAUAAUGCCUAUGCGGUGGAUUUCGACUCUCUCAACAACUUGGUGCAAUUUCCUCGUCCAUUUACAGCUGAAAUCACCAAGUACCGUUCUAGAAUAAUAGGUUCUUACAAUGGAUUACUUGCUGUGUACCAUCGUGAAGAAGGCAUCGCUCUAUGGAUUCCAUCAACCAGAAAAUGUCAUUAUUUGCCAGCCUUGGAUGAAGAUAGAAGUAUGGAUCAUGACACCAUCCCCGGAUACAACUACGACAACAGCACCAUACUCGGAUUUGGGUAUGACAAUAUCACCGAAGACUAUAAGGUGGUGAAAAUGCUGAGAUCCAAGACACAAAACUGCUUCAAAGUUACGAUUUACAGCCAGAAAUCCAACACUUGGAGGAGGAUUAAGGAUUGCCCUUACGACAUACCUAUUAACUACAACGACGGGGCAUACAUAAACAAUGCCAUUCAUUGGGUAGGGGAUGAAAUAUUGUCAGGAAGAAACGUGAUAUUUGGUCUUCAUCUUAACACCGAGGAGUACUUCGAAGUCCCUGAAGGAAAGAGGAGCUCCGAAGACAAGAAAUGCGGCGCUUAUUAUUGCGAGGGCUUCAGCUACAUGAAUGUGGGAGUGUUGGGAGGUUGUUUAUGUGUUUCCCGAGAUUUCUCGAGUUGUCCAAUCGAAGACCACGUAAAUAUAUGGGUGAUGAAGGAGUAUGGAGUGAAGGAGUCUUGGACUGAGUUGCUUUAUCUGUCGAGAAAUCAAUGGGUGACCAAUAUAUUUCACACCAGAGCUGUAGGGUAUGCCAGGGAUGGCAAUAAAGUAUUGCUGGAUGACGGUGGAGGACAACAGCCUGCUUGGUUCAAUCUAGAGGAUGAACGUAGCCACCUUCUUUGUAUUCCAGGCGCACCUCAACUUGUUUCUACAAUCAUCUAUGUUGAAAGCCUUGUUUCUGUUUCUUGAACCCAUUAAUGCAUCUAACUUCAUCAUGUCAAUUUUAUUUCUGUUUCUCUAUGCAAUUACUUUUAUUUCCAUGAAAGUGCCCCUUUAUUAUAUGUAUCUUAUCAAAUUAAUCCCUCAAUUGCUAAUUGAUCAAUUUAACCACUAUACUAUUAAAAAAAAUCAAAUAAAUUCAAUUUUUUUUAUUGAAAUUUGUUUUAGUAAUUUAGUGUUACUUUUGUUGGAUUAUUUGUUUUUAAGAAUUGUUAAAAUUGUUAUGUUAUUAUUGUUAUUACAUUUUGUUAAAUGUGUUCUACGUGUAAACUUAUGAACUGUAUUAAACAUUUUUGGAUUUUUUGUCAUUAGGAAUUGUUAAAUUUAUUAAAAUUAUUUGUAAUAUUCGAAAUUUAAUGUUUGAUAGCUUCAAGAUGACGAAUUGACUAUGACACAAAUAUAUUUGAAUGAAUAUUUUGACUAAUGGAGUUAAAUUCCAAUUGAAUAUCACCUUUAACAUAGAAAUUUAAAAGUGAUGCAUUCUUAAGUAAAAUGGAAAGGAAAAUCAUAACAAAAAUCCAAGUUGAAAGUAUUAAGUGGAUAUCCAAUAUAAAGUGUAGGUUUUUGAGGUCCAAUAGUGGGCGCAAUCAUAUAAAGACGGCCAAUGCUACAGGUAUAUGACAACCAAUCUUGUGGAGGUAUAAAUGGGGUUAUGAAGUUCACAUGUUAUUUGCCCAUUAUGACAAUAGUUGAAAUGAGCUACUAUUGGUGUAUGAUUAGGGCUACAUCUUCUAACGUGAUUGUUGCUUCAUUGUAGGGAAAACCGAAACUAAAAAUCUCUUGUCUCCACCCUUCCACUAAGACUACAAGUAAUGACGACCGAAUUGGCAUAUUAGGUACUUCACCAAUCUUUAAAAAUCUCGUUAUAUCUGAAUAUUCUUUAAGUUGAUCUUACUCUUCAUUUGGAUAAUGUAUAUUUUAUCAAAUUCAAAAAUUUCGCUCCUCAACUUAAUUAAACGACAACAAAAAUAAAUAAAAGAUUGCUACAAAAAUUAAAUAUCAACCAUGAAUACAUAAUUGUUUAAAUAACCAUUUAAUAAAAAAAUUACCAUAUGAAGGACUACUAGAACGAUAUGAUUCUCUUCCCUUAAUCAAAUUUAAGGUAAAUAAAAAAAAAUUGGAGAGAUUUUUGGCUUAAGAAGUUGACGAUAAUGAGAGGCAAUUUUUGUUGGGGUGAAAGAAAAAAAUCAAAGGGAGGGUAUUUAUAGGCACCGUAAAAAAGUUGACACUGAAGGUUAGGUUUAUAAAACAAGCUAAAUUGCCGAACUCCAUUAAAAGCAUUUAUCAAAAUUAAAUUAAAACAAACUAAUCUGAACAUCUACUAGUGUAGAGCUCCAUUGAACACAUUUGUCAGCGGCUAAAAUAAUAAUUAAAAAAUAACGUCAAGGUCAAUUUAUUUUUAUUUAGGUUUAACUCUUCAGUGUUAAAAAUUAAAUGCAAAUGUAUUACAUAUAACUCAAUAUCGAUGGGUUUUGACAUGUUAAUAACACAUUCAAAAAAUUUAGAGAUCGUCGUUAAAUACAGAUACAUUAAUUUAUUUUAUAACAAAUGUCGAGGUCCUUUAAUCAUUUCAUAGUAAUUAGUGGAUAAUGAAAACUUAGCAAUACAAUAUAAUUAAAAAAACUCGACAUUCGAAGUAUUUUGGCACUUUGUUGCCAAAUUCAGAAGUGUUUCCAUUCCAAACUUGAAUCAAAGUUUACAUGGGGGGGCAAAGAUAUACCUUCCGUGACGACUCCGUCAAAUCCCCACUUGCAAGUCCUCCGACAACUUACCUUAAAAUGUGCUCUCCAUCAAAUACAGUCUCCGCGCCUCCACGUGUUCUAUCUUAUCCUCUUUCAAACCUUUUCAAUCUCCUACACCUGUUCCUACCCUAAUGCCUUUGAAACCUACCUGGCAAAUGGUCAAAUGUUUUAACGUUAUCCUCCAAAGACCAUCAGAUGGCAAGAUAUGACAUUGAUGCUAACCCUUUUAUACCGCAGACGAUCAUCUCUCCCCCACCUCUAUCCACAAGAAUUAAUAGUGGCGAUUUCUCUUCCCCUUCAUUUACCAACAACUCUGAAAAGUUCAAUGGCGAACGCUCUUGCAUUCUCUUUCUCAGCCCCAAUCCGGGCCUCAUCCGAAUCACUUAAAAGACCCGACCCGAGUCGUAAGAAUCCCAUGGUGGACCCCUCUCUUCGGGUGGUCAUCCAACCCCGAUUACCUCAACGAUAGCAAUGCCGGAAACACAUCGGAGACGAAGCCGAGAUGCAGAUACACACUGGGGAGCUUCACGGAGGAGAAAGCGAGGCAACUCCGAAAGAAGACGAUGGAGAACUCGUCGUUUCACGAUAUGAUGUACCACUCGGCGAUCGCGUCUCGGCUGGCGUCGGAUAUCUCCGAGAAGUGAUUGAAGGGUAGUAAGGGAAAAAAUAAAUUGUCGAAAUGAAAAUGUAUCCAUCACCGUCGUUAUUGUCCGUCGGGAUUUCGGGCAAUGUUUGCGUUAAGGACAGACAUUGUACUUUAAUAUUGAUUUUAGCCCGUUCAUGAACGGUGAUGCAUUAUCUUUUCCUUCUUUCUUUUUUGGGUACAAAUGCCUUCUCUUUUCUGAAAUUCUGACGGUGUCAUACUUUUUUGCCGACGUGGAAGGCAGUUUUCUUUUAAUAAUCAGGAUCUACUUUAGAUCUUUCCACGUCAGCAUCUGGCUACCUCUUUCAUUUUCUAUCUUUUUCACAAACGUCAAAUUUAUAUUCAUUAAACGCGAUAUAUUUAACUUGUUGAAGUCUUCUUAAUAAAUAGUGAAUAGAUUUAAAUUUACAUAAUUUUUUUAAAUAAAAUAGAUUAAAUUAAAAAUUAUUUAAUGAAA
rnacentral:lncRNA from 1 species